UUCGGUGGCCAUAGCGUCGGGGAAACACCCAGUCUCCAUUCCGAACCUGGAAGUUAAGCCCGCCAGCGCCGAUGGUACUGCGACCGGGAGGUCGUGGGAGAGUAGGACGCCGCCGGAC
rnacentral:rRNA from 6 species